rnacentral:rRNA from 1 species
GAUGAACGCUGGCGGCGUGCCUAAUACAUGCAAGUCGAGCGAACGGACGAGAAGCUUGCUUUUCUGAUGUUAGCGGCGGACGGGUGAGUAACAAGUGGAUAACCUACCUAUAAGACUGGGAUAACUUCGGGAAACCGGAGCUAAUACCGGAUAAUAUUUUGAACCGCAUGGUUCAAAAGUGAAAGACGGCCUUGCUGUCACUUAUAGAUGGAUCCGCGCUGCAUUAGCUAGUUGGUAAGGUAACGGCUUACCAAGGCAACGAUGCAUAGCCGACCUGAGAGGGUGAUCGGCCACACUGGAACUGAGACACGGUCCAGACUCCUACGGGAGGCAGCAGUAGGGAAUCUUCCGCAAUGGGCGAAAGCCUGACGGAGCAACGCCGCGUGAGUGAUGAAGGUCUUCGGAUCGUAAAACUCUGUUAUUAGGGAAGAACAUAUCUGUAAGUAACUGUGCACAUCUUGACGGUACCUAAUCAGAAAGCCACGGCUAACUACGUG